rnacentral:lncRNA from 1 species
CAGAUUCCCCUGAUAGUUACCUGUCCAUUUAAACUUUUGGCAGUUCUAUUGUCCCAUUGAAAACAUACAACAGGUAUUUUUCUCUGUAAUAGCUAUCCAUGAGGACGCGGUGUGUCAGUGUAAGAUCACCUGAUCUAACACUGAUACACCAAGUCCGAAUGGGAUAACUAUUUUACAUCCCAGCUGUUUUAGAUUAGACGAAAAACCAUUUACAAGUCAUAAAAUUUAGUUUAUAGUGUAUACCCUUUAUGAUCCCCGACCACGAUGAUUAAAUAUGAAACAAUGUGAAAUCACCCCACUGGCCAAACGGCCCACACUAGAUCGCCACUUUAUAAAAAAUCGCCCCACUCUUGUUUACCGACUCGACCCACUUUUGAAAAAGUGUAAUAUUAAAUUACACAAUCAAUCUGACAACUCAUUUAUUUACGAAAAGUGUUAAAACCCCUACUGAAUAAAGGUCUGCCAACUCGCCCCACUUAUAAAACUAUCUUACUUCCUUUAAGUAUGUUAAAUUACUUAUAGUUAGUAUCCAGGGGCCUGGUUAUCGAAAGUAUCUUAUGACUAAGACAUGUCUUAUGAUGAUCUUAGGACAUGUCAUAGUUGGAAGAUAUGUUUUCGAAAGUGUCCCAAGUUACGAUUUGUCAUAACUUUUGUCGUAAACUUAAGACCCC